rnacentral:pre_miRNA from 1 species
AAUGUUUGACGCCAUUGACUUUUUAGCACAUGUUUGACCGUUUGUCUUAUUCAAAAAAUUUAAGUAAUUAUUAAUUCUUUUCCUAUCAUUUGAUUCAUUAUUAAAUAUAUUUUUAUGUAGGCAUAUAAUUUUACAUAUUUCACAAAAAAAAUUGAAUAAGACGAACGGUCAAAUAUGUGCUAAAAAGUCAACGGUGUCAAACAUU